GAGCCUAUAGCUCAGCUAAGAUAGAGCAUACGCCUUCUAAGCGUAUGGUCAGAGGUUCGAAUUCUAUAAGGCACG
rnacentral:tRNA from 1 species